CUUGUCAGCAGGUGGGAGAAGUUUGAGCUGGAGCAUCUACUCCUCAGGCCUUAAGGGAUUUUAUCCCUAUACUGCCCCCCUGAGUUCACAAAAGCAGCAGGGCAGCUCAGACUCAGUGGAGCCUUGAGCCCAAGCACGAUCAGGCUGUGGUGUCAACUCCAUCAUACAGACCAGGAAAUGGGGUCCCAGGAGAGUCAAAGUCACCCAGCAGACCUGGGCUCUGCCUCUAACCAGCUCUGGGGUGGGCCCUGGACACACUGCUUUGGGUCUCAGGGCGCAGCCUCCUGGACGUGAGGAUGAUGGGUACGUACAGGGUGCUGCGAGGGUCAGGAGUCAACAGGGACAGCCCCAGACCAGCUCCCUGAUGGUGGCUGUCGUCUCGUCACCAAAUCUCUUCCUCCCCUCAGGGCUGGUAUCUGAUUAUUCCCUGUGCUGGGCUGGACAGUGUUCCCCAAAGAUGCCCCAAUUCCCCCAGAAUCCACAAAUAUGCUAUUUUACACAACAAAAGGGACUUUGCAGACAUGAUAAAGUUACAGGCCAUAGGUUGGGGAGAUUAUCCAGGAUUAUCCAGAUGGGCCCAUUGUAAUCAUGCUGAGCCCUUAAAAGAGGAGGAGGAAGGCAGAGAGUGUCGGAGAAUUAGGAGGACAGAAAAGAGGCAGAAGCUUGCAAGAGGGAGACUGAGCCAGGCACUGCUGGCUUUGCUGAUGGAGGAAGCAGCCUCGGGCCCGGCCGACAGCCAGCAAGGAAACGAGGCCUCAGUCCUACCAUCGCGAGGAGCUGGAUUCUGCCAACAAGCCGAAUGAGCCAGGAAAGUGGAUUCUGCCUCGGAACCUACUGGACUUCCAACUACUGUGAACUGCGAGCUAAUACAUCCGUUCUGGUUUAAGCCUGUAAACGUGUGGUCAUUUGUUAUGGGAGCAGUAGAAAAUGAGGCCCUCCCCCACCUCCUUUUCCACUGGGGAUGAGGGUCGGCCCUCAUCUUGGCCUUGAGUUGGUUCACAGCGUGGGGCUCCCACCCCUGCUGCCCUGGAUCAGCGUGCAUGCUCACUCCAGCUGGAAGACAGGCCAGCAGGACCAUGGAGCCCUGCAGAGGCCAGGCUCCCUUGGCUUUGUGCCCAAAACAAAGCUCUAGAUAUGAGUGUACUUAAAAAAAAAAGUCAAGUGCUGACCCACUUUUUCAUGACUGCUCUGGCUCAGACAGGUCCCUCUGAAAGGAAAUUCACUUCCCGUACACACUGUUCCCAGGACUGACAUCACCCACCUCAGCUGGGAGGAGCAGCAAUACUUAGGAGAGCUCUCAGGGGCUGGUGUCCAACAUCUGAUAAUGUAGCAAAGUCCUGCAAAAAGCUGUUGCUUUUUUUUUUUUAAACUGCGUCAGCCUGGCCAUGGCAGGGCUGGGAGUUUGGCCUGAGUUAGAAUCUCCAGCAAAGAGAAAUGCAUGUGGUGUUUGAGCCCCAGUGCUCCAGCCUUCCUGCACAAACCCCCUGGGAGACCACAGCUGUGGUCUGGCCUGGCUUCUGG